UCAGGGUCCCCGAGGACCUCCUGGGGAAAUUGGAAGUAAGGGUGAUCGAGGACAGACUGGACCACCUGGUUCAGAUGGAGCCAAGGGAGACAGAGGCCUUCCAGGUCAGGCAGGAGACAAG